GGCCAAGUUGGCAUCAAAGAAAGACUUCACUGUUCCAAUAUCCUCCCAGUAAUCAUUAAACAAAUAUGCCUGGACAUUGUGAUCUUUCACAGCAGAAGGGAUAAUUUCAGAGCCAAAAUCAUUGCAUGAAGGGUACGCUGACUUGAGAAGUUUUAGUAAAACAUCAGUUUUGAAUACAUAAACACCCAUGGAUGCAAUGUAAGGAAAAUUGGACGCCUCUUGCUCAGAUAGUCCGAGGAUAGAUGUGUCAACUUGCAUUGCCUUCAAAGCAGGGCCUUUUGGUUUUUCAGCAAAUUGGAUGAUACGUCCUGUUUCAUCUAUUUUCAUCAAUCCAAAAUCUGAAGCUCGACCAUCGUCCAUUGGAACACAUGAAACUGUAAUAUCAGCAUUUGCGUCAAUAUGCUUCUGAACAAAGUCCAUGUAGUUCAUUCGGUAAAGAUGGUCACCAGACAAAAUUAUUAUGUGCUCGACAUUCUUGUUCUUCUGAUUCUCAAAUACCCAUAUGAAUUGCCGCACAGCAUCAGCAGUGCCUUGGAACCACAUUUUUCCUGCAUCCCCUGGAGUCUGGGUUGCAGCUAAAACCUCCACAAAUCCAUCUCCAAAACCCACUCCAUUUCCAAAAUUAUACGUGCGGGCAAGGUGACGAUUGAGGGAAAAGGAAUUGAACUGUGUUAAGAUGAAAAUUUUCCGUAUGCCACUGUUAAUGCAGUUACUCAUUGGUACAUCAAUUAGCCGGUAACAACCACCAAUAGGAACAGCUGGUUUAGCUCUUCUGCUUGUAAGAGGAAAAAGACGAGUUCCAACACCACCACCUAGAAUGACAGAGGCAACAGCUUUUGGAUCUGCCGUUGGUUGUUCCUCAAACAUUGAAUUUUCAAAUGGCAGCAUCUCUUUGUUUAUAUCACGGGUGAGAACAGCAGAGGUAACAUUUUUACCCCUUUGUUGAGUUGUAAAGCUCUUGCACCACCGGACCCCAAAACCCUUGUUUAUCAAUCUUCUUCCACUAAUCUUCUGUCCCCAAAAUGUGCUCUCUUGGUUGCAAAUUGCCACUGAUUGUGCAGUGCCCGCACACAACGCAUCCAUUGCUCUGAAUUAAGCUUUUUCAAACACCCAACUUUUCCUCAAAAAGUAUUUGGUAUAAACAAAAUUAUUACUAGGUUACAGUGCGUUCAUAACACAACACAGUGGCGUUGUAAAGUCUGUGGACUCUCUUGAGAUUUC
rnacentral:misc_RNA from 1 species